rnacentral:tRNA from 1 species
CCCUGGGUGGUAUAAACGGUCAAUGCACCUGGCUGCUAACCAAAAGUUUGGUGGUUCGAGUCCACUCAGAGGCA